UACGGGGGGGGCAAGCGUUGUUCGGAAUUACUGGGCGUAAAGGGCUCGUAGGCGGCCAACUAGGUCAGACGUGAAAUCCCUCGGCUUAACCGGGGAACUGCGUCUGAUACUGGAUGGCUUGAGGUUGGGAGAGGGAUGCGGAAUUCCAGGUGUAGCGGUGAAAUGCGUAGAUAUCUGGAGGAACACCAAUGGCGAAGGCAGCUCGCUGGGACGGUACUGACGCUGAGACGCGAAAGCGUGGGGAGCAAACAGG
rnacentral:rRNA from 1 species